CAGCAGCCGCGGGAAUGCGUAGGGUGCAAGCGUUAAUCGGAAUUACUGGGCGUAAAGCGUGCGCAGGCGGUUUGUUAAGACAGAUGUGAAAUCCCCGGGCUCAACCUGGGAACUGCAUUUGUGACUGGCAAGCUAGAGUGUGGCAGAGGGGGGUGGAAUUCCGCGUGUAGCAGUGAAAUGCGUAGAUAUGCGGAGGAACACCGAUGGCGAAGGCAGCCCCCUGGGCCAACACUGACGCUCAUGCACGAAAGCGUGGGGAGCAAACAGGAUUAGAUACCCCCGUAGUCCCUGUCUCUUAUAC
rnacentral:rRNA from 1 species